rnacentral:tRNA from 1 species
GGUAAAAUGGCUGAGGUAUUAAGGUGAUAAACUGUAAAUUUAUUUAGGAAAUUAUUUUCUUUUACCA